ACGCUGUGGAUGCUGUCGCUG
rnacentral:misc_RNA from 1 species